GAUGAAGAACGCAGCGAAAUGCGAUACUUGGUGUGAAUUGCAGAAUCCCGUGAACCAUCGAGUCUUUGAACGCAAGUUGCGCCCGAAGCCAUUAGGCCGAGGGCACGCCUGCCUGGGCGUCACACGUCGUUGCCCCCCCAUCUACUCCUUCGGGAUUGCGGGGGGCGGAUGAUGGCCUCUCGUGCGCCUCGUCGCGCGGUUGGCCUAAAUACCAAGUCCUCGGCGACGCACGCCACGACAAUCGGUGGUUGCGAAACCUCGGUUGCCUGUCGUGUGCGGUCGUCGCGCAUCGAGGGCUCGAAAAAAUUGCCGGGCUUCGGCUCGACUUUCAACGCGACCCCAGGUCAGGCGGGGUUACCCGCUGAAUUUAAGCAUAUCAAUAAGCGGAGGA
rnacentral:misc_RNA from 1 species